rnacentral:rRNA from 1 species
AUGGGUAACUUGGUCUCGCAGUGCGUCACGGGCGGCGCAGAGCGCGCGGGGCCGCUGGUCGUCCUGCCGGACGGCAGCCAGUUCCGGCUGGAGGAGCACGCCGGCGUGGCCGAGCUGAUGAUCGAGGCGCCGGGGCACGUUGUUGCCAUAGCGAGGGACGCCGCCAAGGAGCGGCGGCUGCGUGCCCUGGCGGCCGACGAGUUCCUGCGCGCCGGGGAGGUGUACCUCCUCGUGCCCGCCGGGAGGGCCGGGGCGCGGCUGGGCGGUCAGGAGGCGGACGCCAUCCGCCGGCUGGUGUCCGGCAAGAAGGAUGGCAAGGGCAGGGGCAGCAGGUCCGGGAGAAGGAUUUUCCCGGAAGGAGAAGCCGCGAGCACCGAGGGUGGAAAGGAGUCUGCUGAAUGUGCGCUGCUUUGUAGGAUUAGGCCAAGGCAGUGGAGGCCCGCCCUUGACACCAUCUUCGAGGCUUAG